UACGGGGGGGGCAAGCGUUGUUCGGAAUUACUGGGCGUAAAGGGUUCGUAGGUGGCCAACUAAGUCAGACGUGAAAUCCCUCAGCUUAACUGGGGAACUGCGUCUGAUACUGGUUGGCUUAAGUGCAGGAGAGGAACGCGGAAUUCCAGGUGUAGCGGUGAAAUGCGUAGAUAUCUGGAGGAACACCGGUGGCGAAGGCGGCGUUCUGGACUGCAACUGACACUGAGGAACGAAAGCCAGGGUAGCAAACGGG
rnacentral:rRNA from 1 species